CAGUAGCCGCGGUAAUACGAAGGGUGCAAGCGUUAAUCGGAAUUACUGGGCGUAAAGCGUGCGUAGGCGGUGAGUUAAGUCUGCUGUGAAAUCCCCGGGCUCAACCUGGGAACGGCAGUGGAUACUGGCUCGCUAGAGUGUGUCAGAGGAUGGUGGAAUUCCCGGUGUAGCGGUGAAAUGCGUAGAGAUCGGGAGGAACAUCAGUGGCGAAGGCGGCCAUCUGGGACAACACUGACGCUGAGGCACGAAAGCGUGGGGAGCAAACAGGAUUAGAUACCCCGGUAGUCCCUGUCUCUUAUAC
rnacentral:rRNA from 1 species